GAAUCACUGACUCCGCUGAUGAGGAAGCAGAGACUCAGUGUGGGUGAAGAAACCUCUUACAGGCCAUUCCACUGGUGGGUAGGAUCCACACCCGCAUUAUCUGAUUUCAGAACCUAUGAUCCUCGCCAUGACAGUGUGAAGCCCCGUUCCCUUCACAACAGAUGGCUGUGAGCUUGGAUGGCUGUCAACCUCAUUCCACAAAACACACAUUCUGUAUUCAUCCGGAUCCUCUGAAAAGCAGAUGUCAAGAUGGGCUUCCACUUGCAGGAACCCAUUGAGGGAAUGCCUGUGAGCGCUGGGUGGAAGCAGGAGUGGGUGGGAGAGCCUGAGACUGACAUGCAGGCUGCACCUGGGAAGCAGGUGGGAAGGAAGCAGUGGGUGGGCGGAGCCUCUGACGGCAGCCCUGUGCAGAGAAGGUUUUGGCUGGGUGGGCCCUGCGGGGCAGGCACCCUUAAGAGGAAUCCAAGAUCGGGCAGCAAAGGGGCUGCACAAGGACUUGCCCUGUGCUCGGUCCUUGGCUGGGAGCAGCCUGGAAAGCGUGGCCUUGGCAUGAAGUUGGCAGAUCCAGAGGGACAGGAGGAAGGACGGUGGCCACCAGGCCACAUCACCAAAGCAUUGUCCAAUAGCUUCGUUUACCUUUAGCAACGAGACUAAAAAGGCACCUACAGUGUGGUGAGUGACAGAGACAGUGGGCAUCUUGAAGCACUGUCUUGAGGGUUUUUUGGUUUUUUUUUUCAGUACUCUACGACUGAGGAACAUCCCUAGUGCCCAUCCCUACCUAGUGCCCUCUCCUAGCCUCCACCAUACCUGGGCUGUCCAGAGCCUCUGCAUGACCUUUAGAGCCAGCUCCAGCUCAAUGGCCACCAGUGAGCAGUGAAGAAUACAGUCUCCAGGGACGACUUUCCAGUAGCCUGGACAGAAAGGCACUUGGUGAGCCUUUGUUCCUAUCUGCAUGUCGGGGCUAACCCACCGGAUGGCGGGAGGACUGAAUGACUGCAUGUGAAAGUGUGUGGAAUGACUGCACAUCUCUUUCCAGAGGAGGGUAGAUGAACUGUGUCCAUUCCUCAGUAUUAUAAGAACGUUUCCCAGCCGGCCAUUCUCUCCCCCUUCCAACUAGGAGUCAUCUCUGCAUCUACACAAGAAAGCACUAAUGAGCAUUUCCAUGCCCUAAAUUUGACAGAUAGCUAAAUAGUAUUGGAUCACAGAUUUUUUUUUAAAGGAUCCAGCAUUAAAAGUUAAGAUAUUUCAUGUAAGAAUCUAGGUGGCCAAAAGCAGGAUUAAAGACUUGGCAUCUCUGCUUCCAUUUUGCACCUGUGUCCUUUGCACCUUGGAUUCUGGGAUAAAGACCUGAUGGAUGAGCAUCCUGUGGGGAAUGGAAGCUACCCGGCAGGCAACAGCCACUUUCUUAUCAUGGACAGGGCUCUGCCGGGCCAAUCACCCAGUCAAGAUGAACCAGACCACACCUGAUGGAGAUCACCUGUUUGGCAGCUACGAAAAGUCUCCAGCUGUGCAAACCUCCAACCCUUGCCCUCCUUUCCUCCCUAUAAAUCUUCAAAGUCAUCAUCAGCUCCUUGAGGUUGGGCUGAGCACAACAUAAGGAUGUGGGUCCCCUUUUCUUUCUGUUGUAGCCACAUUGAUUAAAGUUCUCUUCAUAUUUUCACCAUUACCUUUUC
rnacentral:lncRNA from 1 species